GGAGAACAUACCUAUUGAGGAGGUUUUUGAGAAUCUGAGAUGUAGCAGAGAAGGUCUCAGCAGCAAGGCUGCUAAGGAAAGACUCGCCAUUUUUGGCCACAACAAGCUUGAAGAGAAAAAGGAGAGCAAGUUUUUGAAGUUCUUGGGAUUUAUGUGGAAUCUCCUUUCUUGGGUUAUGGAGGCUGCUGCUAUAAUGGCAAUUGCUCUUGCCAAUGGAGGGGGUAAGCCUCCUGAUUGGCAAGACUUUGUUGGUAUUAUCACUUUGCUUGUCAUCAAUUCAACCAUCAGUUUCAUAGAGAAAAACAAUGCUGGUAAUGCUGCUGCAGCUCUCAUGGCUCGUCUCGCUCCAAAAGCAAAGGU